rnacentral:tRNA from 1 species
AGGGGAAGAACUCAGUGGUAGAGCGCGUGCUUGGCACGCACGAGGUCCUGGGUUCAAUUUCUAGUACCUCCA